CCAUCAGUCAGGAUUUAUCAAUCAUCAUAGCCAAAAGCGGAAACACAGCCUCGAAUUCAUUAGAAUAAUUGUGAAAAGUUCUCAAGCCUUUCUCCGCGCUUCUCAAGUGCGUAAGGUGUGCGCGGGACGGCAGAAUCCAGACUUGGGGGCGUGAGUUUUUGGCUCUGGGCUGGAAACUUAAUUGAAACUCGGCCCAGUUCCCCAGUUCGUCGAUCCGGCCAACCGCCAGCGCAUUAAACACACCUCUGCAUCCAGUGGCUGAGCACGUGCCCCCCGAUAGAAGAAUUGGAAAUCUGUCGAUGACGCAGAAGAAACCGAGAAACGAGACCCCGGCGAGAGGGAAAGUGAAAAGCAGAUACUCGAACAUCAACAAAAGUCUAAUCAGACCCGGUGCAAUGGCUUAAAGAAACACCAAAAACAGCAACAACAGAUCCCAGUAACAAGUACAUAUGCUCAGGCUUGGAAGAUUUAAACUCUCUUUCUGUGUCAUUGACAGACGCGUCUCGUCUUUCGUCUCUGGUCGGUCGCGGCUUUUGUUUCGCCGUGGCUGUUUUGACUGACAAAUGAAAAUCUCAAUUGGCUAUCGCCAGACAAUCAAAAGCCGAAGAGACAAACAGCCAUGAGAAGUCGUCUGUCGACGGUUGCAAACUUUACACACAUUACGGCCCGGCCAAAAGAAAUGAAAUGAAAUGACAACAACUGCAGCGCCACAUACGAAAAUGUACUUUCACUCAUCGGUUUUUUUUUGGUUUUAGUUUUUUGGUCUUUUGAAAACGUCAUCGUGUCGCAGAUAAAAUAACAAACAAACCCCGGCCCCCAAAAAAAGGAAAACAGACAAAUGCAAAGAUCUCCGGCUGAUUGAUGUCAGCCAAAUCUCAUCAGCUGCGUUUUUCCCAGGCUCAAAGGAAAAGGGGUUUCCAUCCGGUCAGCGGUUGUCACUUCAAAGCAGAAUAAAUACACUUUGUAGCACCUCACUCGCCGCACAUUCCCCACCGCGUGUUUAGAGCAGACUUGCCCAAUUAAAUGCAAAUUUUCUUGUUUUAGAAAUCGAAGCCAAGCACUCAGGUGCACUGAGAAAAAUUUAUGUUUUUUUUAUGGAUUUAAUGUAAGCAAUGCUAGUAAAAUCAAUGGUAGAACAAUAAUAC